UCAGAGCGAACGUUAGCGGCGGGCCUAACACAUGCAAGUCGAACGGAUCGUAGCAAUACGGUCAGUGGCGCACGGGUGAGUAACGCGUAGAUAAUCUACCUUCCAGCGGGGGAUAACGUUCCGAAAGGAACGCUAAUACCGCAUAAGACCACGGAGUCUUCGGGCUUUGGGGGAAAAGGUGGCCUCUCCUUGGAAGCUAUCACUGGAAGAUGAGUCUGCGUCCCAUCAGCUAGUUGGUGAGGUAAUGGCUCACCAAGGCUAAGACGGGUAGCUGGUCUGAGAGGAUGAUCAGCCACACUGGUACUGGAACACGGACCAGACUCCUACGGGAGGCAGCAGUGGGGAAUAUUGGGCAAUGGGCGGAAGCCUGACCCAGCCACGCCGCGUGAGUGAUGAAGGCCUUCGGGUUGUAAAGCUCUGUGGGAAGGGGCGAAAAACUGCGAAGAGAAUAUCUAGCAGGUUGACGGUACCUUCUUAGCAAGCACCGGCUAACUCUGUGCCAGCAGCCGCGGUAAGACAGAGGGUGCAAACGUUGCUCGGAUUUACUGGGCGUAAAGCGCGUGUAGGCGGGCGACUAAGUCGGAUGUGAAAUCCCUGGGCUCAACCUAGGAACUGCAUUCGAAACUGGUCACCUAGAGUGAUGGAGAGGAAAGCGGAAUUCCCGGUGUAGAGGUGAAAUUCGUAGAUAUCGGGAGGAACACCAGUGGCGAAGGCGGCUUUCUGGA
rnacentral:rRNA from 1 species